UACAGAGGUGGCAAGCGUUGUUCGGAAUUACUGGGCGUAAAGGGCUCGUAGGUGGCCAACUAAGUCAGACGUGAAAUCCCUCGGCUUAACCGGGGAACUGCGUCUGAUACUGGAUGGCUUGAGUUCGGGAGAGGGAUGCGGAAUUCCAGGUGUAGCGGUGAAAUGCGUAGAUAUCUGGAGGAACACCGGUGGCGAAGGCGGGUCUCUGGGCCGAUACUGACGCUGAGGAGCGAAAGCGUGGGGAGCGAACAGG
rnacentral:rRNA from 1 species